rnacentral:rRNA from 1 species
CCUACGGGAGGCAGCAGUAGGGAAUUUUGCGCAAUGGUCGAAAGCCUGACGCAGCAACGCCGCGUGAACGAGACGCCCUUCGGGGUGUAUAGUUCUGUCAGUGGGGACGAAAAAUGACGUUACCCACAGAGUAAGCACCGGCUAACUCGGUGCCAGCAGCCGCGGUAAUACGGAGGGUGCAAGCGUUGUCCGGAAGCAUUGGGCGUAAAGAGUGCGUAGGCGGCAUGUAAAGUCAGGUGUGAAAGGCGCUGGCUCAACCUGUGUAGGGCACUGGAUACUUGCAAGCUGGAAUGCGGUAGAGGUAAAGGGAAUUCGUGGUGUAGCGGUGAAAUGCUUAGAUAUCAGGAGGAACAUCGGUGGCGUAAGCGCUUUACGGGGCCGUAAUUGACGCUGAGGAACGAAAGCCAGGGUAGCAAAUGGGAUGAGAUACCCUUGUAGUC